GUGCUGGGGAAACAAGCUGGGACUACAGGAAAACCGCAGGGACAAAGACCAUAUAGAAAAUAUCAAAACACAGGAAAGACAAGAUAAUAAAUCAAAACCACAGAAAUCUGGGGGCUGUGACAAUUGUAUUUACAUGCAAUCAGUUUUUUACUUUUUUUGUAUUUUUUUUUUAAAACCACUCAUCCUCAUUGCCAUUAAGUUGCAGAGGCAGAGAUACUUCUUUGAAGAGCAGUCGUGCAGCCUGGGGGUGGCUGGGGGUGAGCGAGGCUGGGCUGGCAGACAGCACCUGAGAGCUAACCUCAAACCUGGGGGGCCCUGGGGCGCCUGGUUGUGCCGGCAUUACAGGAGGUGGAGUGUUGGCGUCUGCACACCCAGCGGAGUCUGACCAUAUUGUACCUGUGCUUGUCUUCAUCUCUCGUAUUUUGUCAAAAGCUCAAAGCCGUAAAAAUUCAGACGGGUACGUUGUCAUCUGAUCUGUGCAAGUGUGAAUUUGUGUGCGUUUGCGCAUGAGUGUGGAAAGAAAAGACAGCCAGUAGGAACAGAUGUGGGGAAAGUCAAAAAAAAAAAAAAAAAAAAAAAAAAACUCAAUAUGAACCCUGCAGAGGCCCUCCUCUCUCUGUUCAAUUAUU